rnacentral:tRNA from 1 species
GGUUUUGGCUCAGUGGUAGAGCGCUUGCCAAAGAUGCGUGAGGCAUAGGGUUCGAUCCCAGUACCA